GACGAACGCUGGCGGCGUGCUUAACACAUGCAAGUCGAACGAGAAUCUGUGGAAAGAGGAUUCGUCCAAUUGAAGCAGAGGACGGUGGCGGACGGGUGAGUAACGCGUGAGGAACCUGCCUUUCAGAGGGGGACAACAGUUGGAAACGACUGCUAAUACCGCAUGCCACAUAGGCGUCGCAUGGCACUUAUGUCAAAGAUUUAUCGCUGAAAGAUGGCCUCGCGUCUGAUUAGCUAGUUGGUGAGGUAACGGCCCACCAAGGCGACGAUCAGUAGCCGGACUGAGAGGUUGAACGGCCACAUUGGGACUGAGAUACGGCCCAGACUCCUACGGGAGGCAGCAGUGGGGAAUAUUGGGCAAUGGGCGCAAGCCUGACCCAGCAACGCCGCGUGAAGGAAGAAGGCUUUCGGGUUGUAAACUUCUUUUGUCAGGGACGAGUAGAAGACGGUACCUGACGAAUAAGCCACGGCUAACUACGUGCCAGCCGCCGCAGUAA
rnacentral:rRNA from 1 species